AUUGAACGCUGGCGGCAGGCCUAACACAUGCAAGUCGAGCGGAUGAAGGGAGCUUGCUCCUGGAUUCAGCGGCGGACGGGUGAGUAAUGCCUAGGAAUCUGCCUGGUAGUGGGGGAUAACGUCCGGAAACGGGCGCUAAUACCGCAUACGUCCUGAGGGAGCAAGUGGGGGAUCUUCGGACCUCACGCUAUCAGAUGAGCCUAGGUCGGAUUAGCUAGUUGGUGGGGUAAAGGCCUACCAAGGCGACGAUCCGUAACUGGUCUGAGAGGAUGAUCAGUCACACUGGAACUGAGACACGGUCCAGACUCCUACGGGAGGCAGCAGUGGGGAAUGUGGGGCAAUGGGCGAAAGCCUGAUCCAGCCAUGCCGCGUGUGUGAAGAAGGUCUUCGGAUUGUAAAGCACUUUAAGUUGGGAGGAAGGGCAGUAAGUUAAUACCUUGCUGUUUUGACGUUACCAACAGAAUAAGCACCGGCUAACUUCGUG
rnacentral:rRNA from 1 species